AGGCUACAGAGUUACAGUGCAGUGCGAGGCAGAGAGCGUCGCCAGUGGGGCGUUACAGCCACCAGACGGACCCUUUCAAUGGUUAAAAGGCUCAGUACAAAGAGCGGCUCCAGUCUGUUCACUGUCAUUGCUGGAAUGCGUGUCACUGCCACUGCUUUCCAAUCACAGAGAUUGUCAACGGGCUGGGAGAAGAGGGGGAGGAAAAGGUGCGUCCGCUUCAGUUGGGAGAGAAAAAGGUUUGAGGCGUAGAAUAUGAUGAGCAAGGCACCAUGGGAAAUAAGUGUCAGAGUCCCUUGUGGCUCUCUUAAUUAUUGACAAUAUCCCCACGGCAAGCGAGGGAGAGCAGGGGAAUCGACUGUGGAGGAGGCACACAGUGUGCUGUGCCUAGCUAGCUAUGGAACACAGAGACAGGCUGCAGGAGGCAGAACAUCUGGAUCACUUCUUCUGCCACAUUAUAAAAAAACCUUUACUGCGGUUGGCUGGCCCAUUAUACAACCAACAAAGCCCUCAGAACCACUGACAAAUCAAAUACUGGCGGAUUCUAUCCAGUCCAAGGCUCUAUUUUGCUCGCAAGGACUGGAUCGAAGAUCUCACUAAAUUGUGAACAAGUGGAUCUGGCCACACUGCUCACUGCUGGAUAGGCACCGGUUCAAAGGUAGAACAUUCAGGAAGAACUAAAGAGAACACAACACCAUGGGCAAUCAACUACACAACAGCCUGUGAGAGAUGCCACUUGGUUGUGGUGAGGGGUGGUGUUGUGUCUGCAACUGCUCUGAGAUGAAAGGAAAACAAUACGGAUGGCAAGCAGAGAGCCUGGAGCCAGAACUCUCCUUGGAUAGGGAGUCUGAUGUUUAUGCAGUUGCCAUGGCAAGGGCUGUCCUUUUGGAGAGGAGCAAGGGAGGUGUCGCAUGAUCCACAUCAUCCUUCCAGGGUAAUCAGACAAGUCUGGAUGUCAACCACAGAAAUACCAUCUCUCCUCUUUCGGCAGUCUGGAUGAGUGCGCUGGGGAGAGAGGAAUGAAGAGACGAUGCAUCACAAUCAAUCCAAAGAGAAGUCAUUUUUGCUGCAUUCAUUGUAAUACCACCCAGAAGAGAGUUAAUGAUAGCUGCUGAACUAGCCGAAAUACAAAUAUUCCCACAAUUGUGGAACAGAUCCCACUGUAACAAAUGUGAUAUGAAUUCUAUAUUUUUAGCUCUUUGUUUGUUUGCAUUUCAAAGGUCCAAAAUCUUCUCUGCUUUCGUUAGAGAUUGCAUUCCCUGUGAGACAAUAUGAAUAGAAUGUGUGCCAGAAGAAUGUAUGCCAGCUUUCUCAUAGACACGCAGAAACAGAUGCAAAUGUUUUAAGGGAAUGGAAAUGGUUAGGAGUGCUUUGUCAAUACAUUGACUUCACAAAACAUUAGGAAUACCAGGUGCAUUGAUGUCACUUGUUAAAUCCACUUCAUUCAGUGUAGAUGAAGGGGAGGAGACAGGUUAAAGAAGGAUUUUAAGACUUUAGAUCAUUGAGAUACUGAGUAUGUGUGCCAUUCAGAGGGUGAACGCGAAAGACAGAAGAUUUAA
rnacentral:lncRNA from 13 species